rnacentral:rRNA from 1 species
GACGAACGCUGGCGGCGUGCUUAACACAUGCAAGUCGAACGAUGAUCUCCCGCUUGCGGGGGUGUUUAGUGGCGAACGGGUGAGUAAUACGUAAGUAACCUGCCCUUGACUCUGGGAUAAGCCUGGGAAACCGGCUCUAAUACUUGAUACUACUUCCUGCCGCCUGGUGGGGUGUGGAGAGGGUUUUACUGGUGUUGUAUGUGCUGACGGCCUAUCAGCUUGUUGGUGGAGUAAUGGAUCACCAAGGCGACGACGGGUACGCUGCCUAGGAGGGUGAACGGCGACACUGAGACUGAGGCAAGGCCCAGGCUCGGACUGGAGGCAGAAGGGGGGAAUAUUGAACGAGGGGCGGCGGCCUGAUGCAGAGGGGCUGCGGGAGGGAUGACGGCCUUAGUGUUGUAGAACACAUUCAGAAGGGAAGAAGCAACAAGUGACGGUACCUGAAGAAGAAGCGACGGCUAACUACGUG